UGAGGAAUAUUGGGCAAUGCCCGCAAGGGUGACCCAGCAACGCCGCGUGGAGGAUGAAUGUCGUAAGAUUGUAAACUCCUGUUAGAGGGGAAGAAUAGUACCGGUUGGACCGGUAUAUGACUGUACCCUCAGAGAAAGCCCCGGCUAACUACGUGCCAGCAGCCGCGGUAAUACGUAGGGGGCAAGCGUUGUCCGGAUUUACUGGGUGUAAAGGGCGCGCAGGCGGGAUAAAACGUCAGUGGUGAAAUCCUACAGCUUAACUGUAGAACUGUCUUUGAUACUUUUAUUCUUGAGUUCGGGAGAGAGAGACGGAAUUCCAGGUGUAGUGGUGAAAUACGUAGAUAUCUGGAAGAACACCAGUUGCGAAGGCGGUCUCUUGGUCCGACACUGACGCUGAGGCGCGAAAGCGUGGGGAGCAAACA
rnacentral:rRNA from 1 species